CCGUAGGCCGUUGAAGCGAUC
rnacentral:miRNA from 1 species